GGCCGCAAGGUUAAAACUCAAAUGAAUUGACGGGGGCCCGCACAAGCGGUGGAGCAUGUGGUUUAAUUCGAUGCAACGCGAAGAACCUUACCUGGUCUUGACAUCCACAGAAGAAUCCAGAGAUGGAUUUGUGCCUUCGGGAACUGUGAGACAGGUGCUGCAUGGCUGUCGUCAGCUCGUGUUGUGAAAUGUUGGGUUAAGUCCCGCAACGAGCGCAACCCUUAUCCUUUGUUGCCAGCGGUCCGGCCGGGAACUCAAAGGAGACUGCCAGU
rnacentral:rRNA from 1 species